rnacentral:lncRNA from 1 species
GGAGAGAAAUUAAAGCUUAGAGAAUAACGUAUCUGGAGUCCCCUUUUUAUAGGCAGAGGGUGCGAUAGAUGAUAGCGAUGUUUGUAACCGUCUGGCAGCGGGCCGUACGGAGCCAAGAGGAGUCUGUUAUGGAGGGUAGUGGAGUGGAGUCGUGGCCAUCACUGUGACCUGCCACGUGGAGUCUGUCAUGGGGAGUGAAGCGACAUCCGUUGU